GUCUAUGGUCAUACCACUCUGAAUGCACCUGAUCUCAUCUGCUCAGAUUAGUACUUGAAUGGGAGACUGCUUGGAAAUACCAGGUACCUUAGGUU
rnacentral:rRNA from 1 species